UAAAGACACGGCUAGUAUAUUUGACCGAUCAAGUGACAGCUGUGCAUGCUCACCUCGCUGAAAUGCCAAGAAUCAUGGGUCCAGUCUGAGCCUGCUGGGAAAGUAGAAAGUCAGUUCAGAUGAGAAAUUAGGAGAGUGCAGCACAAAUACUGUUUGUGGCCAUGCUCAGUAAAGUGGUGGGGAGCCAGGGCUCUCUCCUCUUCAUUUUUUGCAAAGCCUACCAUAAAAAUGAUCACAAUUGAGUACAAUUUAUAGGAAAGACUUUUGGCCUUUGAAUUAAAAGUAUGAAAUCCAUCUAGAAGCACGAGUGCCUUUUCAUCUUAUGGCUUUGGGCAUUGGAUCGUCCUGUCAGCUACACUUUUACCAACCUCUAUGAGAUUUUUCUUAGUGGCACUCUGCUCCAGUCAGUAACAUUUGUGAAUUUGCCUUGUAUGUGUUUACUUGAAAAUAUUUAGCAAAUGUUUUCUAAGCAUGCCUUGAAGGCAUCCAGAAAAACAUUUUCUCUCUAUUUUAAUGCAUCUGACCUCAAUGAAACCCCAAGUGAUGUAAUGGAUUUUCUCUGCACUAUGAAAGAUGCAUUUGAAGUAGCAGCUUGAUAUUAGUUUGAUGUGUUGUACUUUGUCCUGUUACUGUCAGUAUAAUACAGUGAUUCUAAUAGGAUGCUUAGGACUAGGGAAUGUAGCAAUGUUUCAAAUUAGAAGCUUUCUAAUCUUAUUUUAAAUAGAUGUGCAACUGUAUGACAAGAAAAUGUCGUUUGGGGUGACAUCUGGGAGCAGAGUUGCUUGUUGAAAUGAUAGCUUUGUGUAUACAUGCAGCAAGGAAGCUUUAAGUUAGAUGUGAGGGAAAACUUUCUAACUACAGACACUCCCCAACUUAAGCAAGCGUUCCUUUCUGGAAUGCCUUGGGUAAGUUGAAUUUUGCAUAAGUCAGGAACGUAUACCCAACAAUUACACUCCCCAAAAAAGUGUGGAACUUCUCCGUUAGUCGGGUUUGCAUAACCCGGGAAGCAUCUGUAUAAGGAUAGUUAAGUACUGGAACAGGCUUCUAAGGGAGUUGUAGAAUCCACAUCUUUGAAGGUUUUUAAGAACUGUGUAGACAAACACCUGCCAGGGAUGGACCAGGUGUAGGUGGUCCUGCCCUCAGCACAAGGGGCUGGACUAAUGACCUCUCAAGGUCCCUUCCAGCCAUACAUUUCUAUUGUUUGACUUUAUUUUUACUGCAUCCAGUUUACAGCUCUGCAGGCAAGGCAGUAUCUCAUAUCAGCAGUCUCCUGAAAAACCCGUUUUCAGGGGUUCAUAACUCCAGCUGACGUGCAGUCCUAGCAGUUGACUCUGCUCCCAUCCCAGCUGUGGAAGGUGACUCUCGUGUAUCUCUACAGUGACACCCGUUUGUCAACUAGGAGUGACACUGGUUCUCAAGGAGAUAAGGGAUCAAUAAGCCUCCUGGAGCCAGGCCUAGCAAAUUCCAUAGAGACAUGGUGUAAACUUCCACAAACAGCUGCAGACCCAGAACCACAGAGCAGUGUUGCAUGGAUUUAACAUAGGCCACGUCUCAAAAGACAGUUCCUCUUGUUGCGGGCUCCACUGCUUAACAAGGACCACAGUGGUAUGCACCCUUCAAUGGGUUAUUGAUGCCUUCCUGGCUGACUCGCUCCCAUGGUGAAUGAGGAGGGGAAGGGCACCAGCAGACCUCUCUAGCCUAGCCACAGGGAUCCUGCCCCAGGACUCCCCGCUCCUGGGAGAGGCUUUUCUGUCAGUCUCAGCUAGAGCUAGAGCUGUCUCCUUUUUAAUUAAAGCAAACUGUCAGCUCCAACACCGAGGACUUGAGAUGACUACGCUAUCCUGGCUGGAGAGGGAACAACUGUGACCUCACGAGGAGGAGAGAAGAUGAGGAUGCUGGAUUAGCGUGAUAGUGUUGUCCUAAGGCAAAUCCAGCCAGACCUCAUUCUCUGGUUUUAUUUGCAGGUGGGGGGAGGUUUGGACUUCCAAGUAUUUUGGCUGUAAAUGAGCCUGAAACCUCCAAAAUCAAAGAAUAAACCCUGGGUUGAUUUUUGUGGGGAGGGGCAUGAAUUACCCCAAAACUAUAAAUUGCUUGAGGUUCAGAUCUGACAGAAUUCAGACUGUGCCAUAAUCUAAGACCUGAGGAGAGGUGUUUGGGGGUCAGGUUGGUUGGUUUGUGUUUUUUAGUAUUGUUGCAGGAAGCCAAAGGGCUCCAGUUUUUACUUUCCCAUGC